UUGGCAAUAAAAAACUGUCCACUACUUAUGGUCCAUCCUAGAACAUCCCAGUACAUUUCAACUUCAUCCACCAUGGGUGUGCAAGAGGAACUUGUCGCCCUGAAGAGGAAGAGGGCAAUCAGCAAAAGGAAGUUCACCAGGAAGAUCCUGAUAACUGUGUUGAAUUACCUGAAUGUGGAGGAGACAGUGGGAGAUGCGUGAAAGAUGAUGACUGGGGAACUUGCUAUGGCUUAGCUGAACCAGCAGGUUGCCUUGAAAACAAUUGCACUUGUUGCAGGGAUUGUACCCCUAAUGCCCAGUGCACUGCUAAUCAAGGCUAUUGCUACAAUGGUACGAGUAGCUACAUGUGCACAGGUAC